rnacentral:misc_RNA from 1 species
GAGACAUUCAACUAUAUUUAUAGCCUUCCAGAAGAGAGAAACCAUCCUACUGCAAUCACUGGAUCUCAGGCUCUCACAUCCACAGGUGGCUGGUAUAGGAACAAAUGAAAAUAUGGUGGACAAGCUACUUCAACGUUCUGUAAUUAAGCAUGAAAACAACAGGAAUCUUGAAAGUGUCAGCGCGGGAAUUCCAGCAGAAGUAGGUUCCUCUAUUGUAAAGGAGAGCUCUUGCACAAGUUCUGGGUUGAAUGAAAUUU